CCCUGGGCCACCUGGUCCCCCUGGACCUGCUGGACCUAUUGGACCUCUGGGUAACCCAGGAGAGCCAGGGCCCAUGGGACCACCUGGCAGAGCAGGAGAGCCAGGGAAGCCAGGCAAGGAUGGAAAGGGCUUACCUGGAUCUCCUGGACCAAAGGUGAGAGCUUGUUCUAGGAAGCAAUGAAACAGUAUGAUAACUUGUGGUUGGGAGGGAGAGAUAAAAGGAGGAUGAGGGAGAGAGAAAGACAGAAAGAGAU